CUUAUCUGGAGGAGCUGCCAAGCCUACCGCUCGCCGGGUACCCUGAGGAGCCCAUGGUGCUUGAUUCCGUGGAGGACACCGUUCAAACGCAGGCAGCCUGUGACUUGCUACAGAGAAUAAUACGCAUCUUGUAUCUAAGUAAGAGACUUCAAGAACAGCUGCAAGGAGGAAGCAGAGAGAUAACAAAAGCUGCCCAGAGUUUCAAUGAACUUGACUUCUGUUCUGAAAGGGCUUUGACAAGUGCUUGCACAAGAGGUUGCGGUAUGGUCAUUGGGUGAAAAGCAAAGGAUUGUCAUCAGUCAAAAACUGGGUAAGAGACAGAAGGCUACUGAUAGGAUUAAAUGGUUAAUUUUCAAAAUAGUGAAAGGUUAACAACAGGAUACCCCUACAUUCUCAGCUAGGUCUGGAAGGGGGAGGAGGCGUCGAGUAGUGGGGUAAUAAUUUAGAUUAUAGUUACUUAAAUUAGUCAGGACCAGAGAGGACCGUGAGAAACUUCACAAGCUAGGUGAAUGGUCGGUGUGAUGGCUGACAAAGUUCACUGUUGAUGAUAAAUGCAAAGUAAUGCACAUUGGAGGG